rnacentral:rRNA from 1 species
AGGGUUUGAUCCUGGCUCAGGAUGAACGCUAGCGGCAGGCCUAAUACAUGCAAGUCGAACGAGAUUGAGGAGCUUGCUCCUCAUGAAAGUGGCGCACGGGUGCGUAACGCGUAUGCAAUCUACCUUAAUCAGGGGGAUAGCCCGGAGAAAUCCGGAUUAAUACCGCAUAACAUUAUUGAAUGGCAUCAUUUAAUAAUCAAACAUUUAUGGGAUUAAGAUGAGCAUGCGUGACAUUAGUUAGUUGGUGAGGUAACGGCUCACCAAGACUACGAUGUCUAGGGGAUCUGAGAGGAUGACCCCCCACACUGGUACUGAGACACGGACCAGACUCCUACGGGAGGCAGCAGUAAGGAAUAUUGGUCAAUGGGCGCAAGCCUGAACCAGCCAUGCCGCGUGCAGGAAGACGGCCCUACGGGUUGUAAACUGCUUUUAUUCGGGAAUAAACCUCUUUACGUGUAAAGAGCUGAAUGUACCGAAGGAAUAAGGAUCGGCUAACUCCGUGCCAGCAGCCGCGGUAAUACGGAGGAUCCAAGCGUUAUCCGGAUUUAUUGGGUUUAAAGGGUGCGUAGGCGGCUUAUUAAGUCAGGGGUGAAAGACGGUGGCUCAACCAUCGCAGUGCCUUUGAUACUGAUGAGCUUGAAUACACUAGAGGUAGGCGGAAUGUGACAAGUAGCGGUGAAAUGCAUAGAUAUGUCACAGAACACCAAUUGCGAAGGCAGCUUACUAUGGUGUCAUUGACGCUGAGGCACGAAAGCGUGGGGAUCAAACAGGAUUAGAUACCCUGGUAGUCCACGCCCUAAACGAUGAAUACUCGAUGUUAGCGAUAUACAGUUAGCGUCUAAGCGAAAGCGUUAAGUAUUCCACCUGGGGAGUACGCCCGCAAGG